UACGGGGGGAGCAAGCGUUGUUCGGAUUUACUGGGCGUAAAGGGCGCGUAGGCGGCGUGACAAGUCACUUGUGAAAUCUCCGGGCUUAACUCGGAGCGGCCAAGUGAUACUGUCGUGCUAGAGUGCGGAAGGGGCAACUGGAAUUCUCGGUGUAGCGGUGAAAUGCGUAGAUAUUAGGAAGAACACCAGUGGCGAAGGCGGCUCACUGGCCCGGUACUGACGCUGAGGCGCGAAAGCGUGGGGAGCAAACAGG
rnacentral:rRNA from 1 species